rnacentral:rRNA from 1 species
GCAGCCGCGGUAAUACGUAGGGGGCGAGCGUUGUCCGGAAUCACUGGGCGUAAAGGGCGCGUAGGCGGUUUAAUAAGUCAGUGGUGAAAACUGAGGGCUCAACCCUCAGCCUGCCACUGAUACUGUUAGACUUGAGUAUGGAAGAGGAGAAUGGAAUUCCUAGUGUAGCGGUGAAAUGCGUAGAUAUUAGGAGGAACACCAGUGGCGAAGGCGAUUCUCUGGGCCAAAACUGACGCUGAGGCGCGAAAGCGUGGGGAGCAAACAGGAUUAGAUACCCC